rnacentral:rRNA from 1 species
AUUGAACGCUGGCGGCAGGCCUAGCACAUGCAAGUCGAACGGUAACAGGAAGCAGCUUGCUGCUUUGCUGCCGAGUGGCGGACGGGUGAGCAAUGUCUGGGAAACUGCCUGAUGGAGGGGGAUAACUACUGGAAACGGUAGCUAAUACCGCAUAACGUCGCAAGACCAAAGAGGGGGACCUUCGGGCCUCUUGCCAUCGGAUGUGCCCAGAUGGGGUUAGCUAGUAGGUGGGGUAACGGCUCACCUAGGCGACGAUCCCUAGCUGGUCUGAGGGGAUGACCAGCCACACUGGAACUGAGACACGGUCCAGACCCCUGCGGGAGGCAGCAGUGGGGAAUAUUGCACAAUGGGCGAGAGCCUGAUGCAGCCAUGCCGCGUGUAUGAAGAAGGCCUUCGGGUUGUAAAGUACUUUCAGCGGGGAGGAAGGGAGUCAAGUGAAUACCUUUGCUCAUUGACGUUACCCGCAGAAGAAGCACCGGCUAACUCCGUG